rnacentral:rRNA from 1 species
AGAAUGAACGCUGGCGGCGUGCCUAAGACAUGCAAGUCGCACGAGAAAGUAGCAAUAUGAGUAAAGUGGCGCACGGGUGAGUAAUAUUUAGGUAAUAUGCCUUUCCGCGGGGAAUAACUAGGCGAAAGCUUAGCUAAUACCGCAUGAUCCGAAGGAGACUCUGGUCUUUUUCGGUAAAGCCUUACGGCGCGGAAUGAGUAGCCUGAAUCCCAUUAGCUAGUUGGUAAGGUAACGGCUUACCAAGGCAUUGAUGGGUA